rnacentral:rRNA from 1 species
GUGGGGAAUAUUCCGCAAUGGACGAAAGUCUGACGGAGCAACGCCGCGUGAGUGAUGAAGGUUUUCGGACUGUAAAGCUCUGUUGUUUAGGACGAAAGUGCCUGUUGCAAAUAGUUACAGGUAUUGACGGUACUGAACGAGGAAGCCACGGCUAACUACGUGCCAGCAGCCGCGGUAAUACGUAGGUGGCAAGCGUUGUCCGGAAUUAUUGGGCGUAAAGAGCAUGUAGGCGGAGAUUUAAGUCUGUUGUGAAAAUGCGGGGCUCAACCCCGUAUUGCGAUGGAAACUGAAUUUCUUGAGUGCAGGAGAGGAAAGGGGAAUUCCCAGUGUAGCGGUGAAAUGCGUAGAUAUUGGGAGGAACACCAGUGGCGAAGGCGCCUUUCUGGACUGUGUCUGACGCUGAGAUGCGAAAGCCAGGGUAGCGAACGGGAUUAGAUACCCCUGUAGUCC